GAUGAAGAACGCAGCGAAAUGCGAUAAGUAAUGUGAAUUGCAGAAUUCAGUGAAUCAUCGAAUCUUUGAACGCACAUUGCGCCCGCCAGCAUUCUGGCGGGCAUGCCUGUUCGAGCGUCAUUUCAACCCUCGAGCCCCCCCGGGGGCCUCGGUGUUGGGGGACGGCACACCAGCCGCCCCCGAAAUGCAGUGGCGACCCCGCCGCAGCCUCCCCUGCGUAGUAGCACACACCUCGCACCGGAGCGCGGAGGCGGUCACGCAGUAAAACGCCCAACUUUCUUAGAGUUGACCUCGGAUCAGGUAGGAAUACCCGCUGAACUUAAGCAUAUCAAUAAGCGGAGGA
rnacentral:misc_RNA from 1 species